CACGCCGUAAACGAUGAGUACUAGGUGUUGGCCCGUCAAGGGUCGGUGCCGCAGUUAACACAUUAAGUACUCCGCCUGGGGAGUACGUUCGCAAGAAUGAAACUCAAAGGAAUUGACGGGGACCCGCACAAGUAGCGGAGCAUGUGGUUUAAUUCGAAGCAACGCGAAGAACCUUACCUAAGCUUGACAUCCCAUUGACCGCAGGGUAAUGCCUGCCUUCCCUUCGGGGACAAUGGAGACAGGUGG
rnacentral:rRNA from 1 species